UACGAAGGGGGCUAGCGUGGCUCGGAAUCACUGGGCGGAAAGCGCACGUAGGCGGACUCUUAAGUCGGUGGUGAAAUCCUGGAGCUCAACUCCAGAACUGCCUUCGAUACUGAGAGUCUUGAGUCCGGGAGAGGUGAGUGGAACUGCGAGUGUAGAGGUGAAAUUCGUAGAUAUUCGCAAGAACACCAGUGGCGCAGGCGGCUCACUGGCCCGGUACUGACGCUGAGGUGCGAAAGCGUGGGGAGCAAACAGG
rnacentral:rRNA from 1 species